ensembl:lncRNA
UGGAUAUUUUUUAAAAUUACAUUCAUGAACUGUGUUGCUGUACAGAAUAGAACUUCCUCUUCCAUCCAGCAGGUGGGGGUAAGGCUCCCUGAGACACUCUAGACUGCGCAUGCGCAACAUCGCAUCCCAGUUCUGCCGGUGACGCUUCGAGAGCGUUUUGGAAAAGUUGCUGUACUUCGUAUUUUGGAGUUAUACACGGAUCUAAGAUCUACUGCAACCUAAUGAGAGUGAAGUUGGUGCAGCAUCUGCCUGGACAAUGAUGAGCUGCUGUUUUGGUGGCCGGGAGUGUUCUCUGCAGCAGAGGUGGAAGCUGAAUUUGUGAGCAUUACUCCUGCUCCCAUCAUCUCAAAGGUCCUUGCCCGUUGUCCCAGUUCAACAAGAGGAAUCUGCACAAAGGAAAAUCAGCAUCACACAUGUAAAUCCAGAGGACUGAUGGUGGUGAAAAAAGCACCACCAUGAGAAUGCUGAGACUGACUGCAAACUGGAGUUGGAGAUUCUAUGCACAUUUGGACUAUAUAGAUGUCAGCAUUUCAUUUAAAGCAGCAUCUGCAGUGAUUCACAAGGUAAUCCACAGCUGUCAUUGCAUUGGUGGUGGACCUGCCAAACAACAAUGCCUGCUGUGAUGACAAUGCCACCAUCCCUCCUCUCUCCUGCAGGAAACCCUAACGCACUUCAGCUGCUGCUUCCUUCUCCACUGCUACACACCCUAAAAUAAAAAACAAACACAUGACUACAAUUGUUUCUCUGCUGUAUAAAUGCUUUUAAAUACAACAGCUGGACAUGGCUUCUAGCUCUUUAAGAUGAUUCACCACAAAACAGAAUAACAUGACUGUCUGACUCAAGCUACAGAAAACUUUCUACAGUAGCUUUUAAACCCACAAUUUGCUUACAAGGAUACAAUAAUCAUAAAGCAAUUUCUGAUGCUGCUGUUAGAGGAUGUGAGCUGGAUUAGAAAAGAAAAUGUGUAAGUGCUGCCCUCGUGUGGCUUCCAGCUGAAACCAACCUGCACUUCAAAAGAAUUUUCCUGCAUUGAAACAAAUACGAUGCAUUUCAUUUUGCACACAGGAUCCUAUUAUUUGCAGAACUUCUGUAAUAAGUUUACAAUCCUAAAAUGACCCAGGUCUUAUUUGGAGGACAAUUUUCGGUCAGUUAAAAGUUCAACUAUUAAAGCCCAACUUGCCUUAAACCGACUCCAACAUUUCAGAAAUCUCAUGUCUUCAGUGAUGGCGUGAAAAGUGUAUUUUUGUCUAAUAUGUCAGGUUUAAAAGGUUAAAUCUUCCUGGUUUCCUUCUAAUGGAACAACACAUGAAUGAACAUGAUUACACAUCUAAAUUAACUUGUAUUUUCAGAUCUUGGAUUUCUUUGUCUGCAUCCAAAAAUGCCUACUUUUUAGACCUAAAAUAUUUUAUUUGACUGUGUUUAGGUUAAAAAUAAAAUAUAAUCAAAGAUUAGUCAUUGUUUCACCACUAUAUACACAGUCAAGGAAAACUAUCCAAAUUUGCAACGAUUUCUCAGAAUAAACUGAAAUUAAGUCACAGCAAUCUCUCUUGUAAAACACUGGUUUUAAUUUUAAAGAAAUAUGAAAAAUGUACUUAUUCAAAAGCACUUGAGUAAUUUAGAGAUUAAGGUUAAGCAAAUACAAUAUUAGAUGUAAUAUAGUUAACACCAACUGCACUGUAAACUUUUAAAGCUGUAUGAAGGACAGAUAAACCACAGAAACAAAGUUUUGGUUUUUUGGUUUGCUAAACAGAGCAUGGGGAGAACUAAAACUUUGAUUACAACUCUGAUAUAGAACUUUAAUUUACACUUGAUACAUUUUUGUGACUCCAUGUCUGCUAAUCAACAGAUGAUCCAUCAAUGACUCACAAAAUCCUCAACAACCCAUCUCAUUCACUUCUUCUGUGACGUGAUUUGUUCUAAACAACUUGUCUGUCACUGAAAGCAUUUUUAGUUUACCAAAGUAAUAACAUAUUUUAAGAAAUCUUUGUCCUGUAAAAUGUACACUUUUUAAUGGCUAAAAAUACUGUAUCAAAUGUACAUAAUACUGCUGUGUAUAAUGCUUGACUGUUAAUGAUGUAAUGUCCCAUCUAAAAGUUUAAAUUUAACUGAGAAUAAUGCAAUUUCACAUUUCAUUUACAGUGUUUUUUAGGUUUUAGCAAUGCUGUUGCUAAUAGUUGAAUUCGACCUAUCAGUAGUGUCACGCAGCAUCGGGAUACUUUUAGAAUAGUUCUGUUUUUGUACUUAUUUCAGAGCAAACAUGCCCCCAGAAAUGGUUAAAAUUGAAGGCUUUAAAGCCUCUAUCAGGAUUUACAUCUAUUUUAUGCCAGUUUUCCUGUCUUUGCUGAUGCUGCACUGAAUGUUUCACAGUUUAAGGUUCACUUUGUCUAAAAUCACAUCUUAGAUUACAUGAAUGUCUGCUUGUUCAAUAACCUGCCAGAAAACAGACCUGUUCAAGGAACACUUUUCACUUUACUCCUGUACUUUUCUUCCCUGACCACAUGUGUUUUGACACAUUCUGCUCAGUAAAGAGAUAGACCACAAUUUAACAUGUCAUAUUGUUCCUUUAACGUCAGGAGGGAAAAAAGUAACUGCAACUGUGCAAUAGACUAAAGCAAUGUAGGCAAACAUCACUCACCUUGUGAAUCAC